rnacentral:rRNA from 2 species
UUAAGUUAACAAGGGCGCAUGGUGAAUGCCUUGGCACUAGGAGCCGAUGAAGGACGGGACUAACACCGAUAUGCUUCGGGGAGCUGUACGUAAGCUAUGAUCCGGAGAUUUCCGAAUGGGGCAACCCAGCAGUUUUAAUCAACUGUUACCACUAGAUGAAUUCAUAGUCUAGUUGGAGGUAAACGCUGUGAACUGAAACAUCUCAUUAGCAGCAGGAAUAUAAAGAAAUUUCGAUUCCCUAAGUAGCGGCGAGCGAACGGGGAACAGCCCAAACCAAAGUGCUUGCACUUUGGGGUUGUAGGACUGAACAUUUGAGUUACCAAAGAACUUGAUAGUCGAAGGAUUUGGGAAAAUCCGCCAUAGAUGGUGAUAGCCCAGUAGAUUAAAUCAAAUUCUCUCAGUUCAGGAUCCUGAGUACGGCGGAACACGUGAAAUUCCGUCGGAAUCCGGGAGGACCAUCUCCCAAGGCUAAAUACUACCUAGUGACCGAUAGUGAACCAGUACCGUGAGGGAAAGGUGAAAAGCACCCCGGGAGGGGAGUGAAAUAGUUCCUGAAACCAUGUGCCUACAAUAAGUCAGAGCGCGUUAAUGCGUGAUGGCGUGCCUUUUGUAGAAUGAACCGGCGAGUUAUGAUCCCGUGCAAGGUUAAGACUAAAAAGUCGGAGCCGUAGCGAAAGCGAGUCUGAAAUGGGCGUUUUGAGUACGAGGUUAUAGACCCGAAACCAGGUGACCUAUCCAUGUCCAGGUUGAAGGUGCGGUAAAACGCACUGGAGGACCGAACCCGUGUAAGUUGAAAAUUGCUGGGAUGAGGUGUGGAUAGCGGUGAAAUUCCAAACGAACUUGGAGAUAGCUGGUUCUCUCCGAAAUAGCUUUAGGGCUAGCCUCGGAAUUAGGAUCAUGGAGGUAGAGCACUAUUUGGACUAGGGGCCCGUCUUGGGUUACUGAAUUCAGAUAAACUCCGAAUGCCAUUGAUUCAUAUCCGGGAGUCAGACGAUGAGUGAUAAGAUCCACCGUCGAAAGGGGAACAGCCCAGACCAUCAGUUAAGGUCCCUAAAUGUAUGCUAAGUGGAAAAGGAUGUGGAGUUGCAUAGACAACUAGGAUGUUGGCUCAGAAGCAGCCACCAUUUAAAGAGUGCGUAAUAGCUCACUAGUCGAGUGAUCCUGCGCCGAAAAUGUACCGGGGCUAAGCAUACUACCGAAACCAUGGAUGCGACCAUUAGGUCGCGUGAUAGGAGAGCGUUCUAAGGGCGGUGAAGCAAGAUCGUGAGGACUUGUGGAGCGCUUAGAAGUGAGAAUGCCGGUAUGAGUAGCGAAAGAUAGGUGAGAAUCCUAUCCACCGAAUGACUAAGGUUUCCUGGGGAAGGCUCGUCCUCCCAGGGUUAGUCGGGACCUAAGUCGAGGCCGAGAGGCGUAGACGAUGGAUAACAGGUUGAGAUUCCUGUACUAGUUAAGUGCGUUUGAGCAAUGGAGGGACGCAGGAGGCUAAGAUGUGCAUUCUGUUGGAUUAGAAUGUCCAAGCAGUAAGUCUUGUGAAGAGUCAAAUGCUUUUCACUUUAAGGACAAGCUGUGAUGGGGAGCGAAAUUUAGUAGCGAAGCGUCUGAUGUCACACUGCCGAGAAAAGCUUCUAGUGAGUACUUAACUACCCGUACCGCAAACCGACACAGGUAGUCGAGGAGAGAAUCCUAAGGUGAGCGAGUGAACUCUCGUUAAGGAACUCGGCAAAAUGACCCCGUAACUUCGGGAGAAGGGGUGCUGAUCGCAAGAUCAGCCGCAGUGAAUAGGCCCAGGCGACUGUUUAUCAAAACACAGGUCUCUGCAAAAUCGCAAGAUGACGUAUAGGGGCUGACGCCUGCCCGGUGCUGGAAGGUUAAAAGGAUGGGUUAGCUUCGGCGAAGCUCAGAAUUGAAGCCCCAGUAAACGGCGGCCGUAACUAUAACGGUCCUAAGGUAGCGAAAUUCCUUGUCGGGUAAGUUCCGACCCGCACGAAAGGCGUAACGAUCUGGGCACUGUCUCAACGAGAGACUCGGUGAAAUUAUAUUGUCCGUGAAGAUGCGGACUACCCGCGACAGGACGGAAAGACCCCAUGGAGCUUUACUGUAGCUUGAUAUUGAGUGUUUGUACAGCUUGUACAGGAUAGGUAGGAGCCAUAGAAACCGGAACGCUAGUUUCGGUGGAGGCGUUGGUGGGAUACUACCCUCGCUGUAUGACCACUCUAACCCGCACCACUAAUCGUGGUGGGAGACAGUGUCAGGUGGGCAGUUUGACUGGGGCGGUCGCCUCCUAAAAAGUAACGGAGGCGCCCAAAGGUUCCCUCAGAAUGGUUGGAAAUCAUUCGCAGAGUGUAAAGGCACAAGGGAGCUUGACUGCGAGACAGACAGGUCGAGCAGGGACGAAAGUCGGGCUUAGUGAUCCGGUGGUACCGUAUGGAAGGGCCAUCGCUCAACGGAUAAAAGCUACCCUGGGGAUAACAGGCUUAUCUCCCCCAAGAGUCCACAUCGACGGGGAGGUUUGGCACCUCGAUGUCGGCUCAUCGCAUCCUGGGGCUGUAGUCGGUCCCAAGGGUUGGGCUGUUCGCCCAUUAAAGCGGUACGCGAGCUGGGUUCAGAACGUCGUGAGACAGUUCGGUCCCUAUCCGUCGCGGGCGUAGGAAAUUUGAGAGGACCUGUCCUUAGUACGAGAGGACCGGGAUGGACAUACCUCUGGUGUACCAGUUGUGCCGCCAGGCGCAUCGCUGGGUAGCUACGUAUGGAUGUGAUAAACGCUGAAAGCAUCUAAGUGUGAAACACACCUCGAGAUGAGAUUUCCCAUUCCUUUAUGGAAGUAAGACCCCUGAAAGAUGAUCAGGUAGAUAGGUUAGAAGUGGCAGUGCGGUGACGCAUGAAGCGGACUAAUACUAAUCGGUCGAGGACUUAACCAA